UACGUAGGGUGCGAGCGUUGUCCGGAAUUAUUGGGCGUAAAGGGCUCGUAGGCGGUUUGUCGCGUCGGGAGUGAAAACCAGGUGCUUAACACCUGGCUUGCUUUCGAUACGGGCAGACUAGAGGUAUUCAGGGGAGAACGGAAUUCCUGGUGUAGCGGUGAAAUGCGCAGAUAUCAGGAGGAAUACCAGUGGCGAAGGCGGCCUUCUGGACGGAUACUGACGCUGAGGCGCGAAAGCCAGGGGAGCAAACGGG
rnacentral:rRNA from 1 species